rnacentral:rRNA from 1 species
CAGUCGCCGCGGUAAUACGAAGGGUGCAAGCGUUAAUCGGGAUUACUGGGCGUAAAGCGUGCGUAGGCGGUGAGUUAAGUCUGCUGUGAAAUCCCCGGGCUCAACCUGGGAAUGGCAGUGGAUACUGGCUCGCUAGAGUGUGUCAGAGGAUGGUGGAAUUCCCGGUGUAGCGGUGAAAUGCGUAGAGAUCGGGAGGAACAUCAGUGGCGAAGGCGGCCAUCUGGGACAACACUGACGCUGAGGCACGAAAGCGUGGGGAGCAAACAGGAUUAGAUACCCCCGUAGUCCCUGUCUCUUAUAC